rnacentral:rRNA from 1 species
AGAGUUUGAUCCUGGCUAGGAAGAACGUUGGCGGUGUGCCUAAUACAUGCAAGUCGAACGGAGUUAGUAGCAAUACUGGCUCAGUGGCGAACGGGUGAGUAACGCGUUGGUGAUCUGCCUUGAAGUGUGGAAUAACGUUUCGAAAGGAACGCUAAUACCGCAUGUGCUCUCGAUUUUCAGAAAGUUGAGAGUAAAGGAUUUAUUCGCUUCAAGAGGAGCCUGCGUCCCAUCAGCUGGUUGGUAGGGUAACGGCCUACCAAGGCUAUGACGGGUAGGGGACCUGAGAGGGUGGCCCCCCACAAUGGAACUGAAACACGGUCCAUACACCUACGGGUGGCAGCAGUAGGGAAUAUUAGAAAUGGACGAAAGUCUGAUCUAGCAACACCGCGUGUGCGAAGAAGGCCUUCGGGUCGUAAAGCACUUUUUGGAAGGAAUAGGAAGGAAUGUACUUCCAGAAUAAGUCUCGGCUAACUACGUGCCAGCAGCCGCGGUAAUA